rnacentral:lncRNA from 1 species
UCGAUUGAGCCAGCAGUCUCUGAAAUCGUUGGUGCAGCCGGUGAUUUUUUCUCCUUCGGGCAUCCCAGUGUUAAGGUGUUCGUGAAUCGGUGAUUUCGAGAUGGGUGGUAGUUUUGAAAAAAAAUUGAGGGAGGGGAUAGUUUUGAAAAUAUGAAAUAAAAAAAUAUUAAAAAAAAAUCCGUUUAUACGUGAGGAGGAAUACAAGAAGUCCUUUUCGAGGGG